UCUAGUUCACCACAAACGCACGCUCAGUCCACACAAAUUUAUUACCUCAGAAUCGCAAUCCAAGGCAAAGUAUUAUGAAGACUGAUCGCAACAUUGAGAAUUUCACAAUUCAAGGGGGAAGGAUGACCAGCCACACAGGAGGGGGACUUUUACUAAAGAGGAGGCCGUGCUGACAGAUGCAUGCUGGCCAUUUCGGAGUG